UAGGGAAUAUUGCACCAUGGGCGAAAGCCUGAUGCAGCAACGCCGCGUGAGUGAUGAAGGCCCUCGGGUCGUAAAACUCUUUUCAAGAGGAAGAGGAAGGACGGUACUCUUGGAAUAAGCCUCGGCUAACUACGUGCCAGCAGCCGCGGUAACACGUAGGAGGCGAGCGUUAUUCGGAUUUACUGGGCGUAAAGCGCGUGUAGGCGGCUUAUUAAGUUGGAUGUGAAAGCUCCUGGCUUAACUAGGAGAGGACGUUCAAAACUAGUAAGCUUGAGUACGAGAGAGUAAAAUGGAAUUCCGGGUGUAGUGGUGAAAUGCGUAGAUAUCCAGAGGAACACCAGUGGCGAAGGCGAUUUUCUGGCUCGAGACUGACGCUCAGACGCGAAAGCUAGGGUAGCAAACG
rnacentral:rRNA from 1 species